GGAUUAGUGCCCGCAGGUGGUUAGCGGGAAGUAGUUAGCCUUAGUAGCUAAAGCUCAGUCGUCGGUUCGACUCCGACCUAAUCCC
rnacentral:tRNA from 1 species